rnacentral:rRNA from 1 species
GACGAACGCUGGCGGCGUGCUUAACACAUGCAAGUCGAACGGUGAAAGCGGAGCUUGCUCCGCUGGAUCAGUGGCGAACGGGUGAGUAACACGUGGGCAACCUGCCCCUCACUUCGGGAUAACUCCGGGAAACCGGGGCUAAUACCGGAUAUGACCUCCUUGGGCAUCCUUGGAGGUGGAAAGUUUUUCGGUGAGGGAUGGGCCCGCGGCCUAUCAGCUUGUUGGUGAGGUAGUGGCUCACCAAGGCGACGACGGGUAGCCGGCCUGAGAGGGCGACCGGCCACACUGGGACUGAGACACGGCCCAGACUCCUACGGGAGGCAGCAGUGGGGAAUAUUGCGCAAUGGGCGAAAGCCUGACGCAGCAACGCCGCGUGCGGGAUGACGGCCUUCGGGUUGUAAACCGCUUCCAGCAGGGAAGAAGCCGCAAGGUGACGGUACCUGCAGAAGAAGCACCGACUAACUACGUGCCAGCAGCCGCAGUAA